UACGUAGGGUGCAAGCGUUAUUCGGAAUCAUUGGGCGUAAAGCGCGCGCAGGCGGAUUGAUAAGUCAGGUGUGAAAUCUCGAGGCUCAACCUCGAAACUGCGCCUGAAACUAUUAGUCUAGAAUGUCGGAGGGGGCAGGGGAAUUUCACGUGUAGGGGUAAAAUCCGUAGAGAUGUGAAGGAACACCGGAGGCGAAGGCGCCUGCCUGGACGACUAUUGACGCUGAGGCGCGAAAGCGUGGGGAGCAAACAGG
rnacentral:rRNA from 1 species